rnacentral:lncRNA from 1 species
CUCUGUUAUACACUCAGACACAUUACUGGGAGUAUUAUUACUGUGGAGCUCUGUUAUACACUCAGACACAUUACUGGGAGUAUUAUUGCUGUGGGGCUCUGUUAUACACUCAGACACAUUACUGGGAGUAUUAUUGCUGUGGGGCUCUGUUAUACACUCAGACACAUUACUGGGAGUAUUAUUGCUGUGGAGCUCUGUUAUACACUCAGACACAUUACUGGGAGUAUUAUUACUGUGGAGCU